AACGAACGCUGGCGGCAUGCCUAAUACAUGCAAGUCGAACGAACACUUCGGUGUUAGUGGCGCACGGGUGCGUAACGCGUGGGAAUCUACCCCUUGGUUCGGAAUAACAGUUAGAAAUGACUGCUAAUACCGGAUGAUGACGAAAGUCCAAAGAUUUAUCGCCAAGGGAUGAGCCCGCGUAGGAUUAGCUAGUUGGUGAG
rnacentral:rRNA from 1 species